UUAUAGGUAAUAAGUAACCGUUUAUAAUUUAUGACCUACACAUAUUGUAAACUGAAUUACUUACUACACUUGUCCAUCUGAUAAGCCGUAUACCUUUUUAUUACUAUUUGUGUAUGAGGUAUUUUUGUAAUUAAAUAGAUAUUCGUCAUAUUUUAGUAUGGUGAUCUAUUUACGCUUACAAACACGUGUGCUAAAUUUCAUAAGACGUGUGUGUCAACUAAAAGUGUAUGGAUAAUGGAGAUGAUUCAGAUAUGAUUUGAUGGAAAUUAGUUAAAGUUUCAUCCCGUUAAGUCAUUUUUGAGCUCUCAGGAAAGCCCAGCCUAUAGUCAGUUUAUUUUUUCUAAAUUAAUUGUAUAAUUGAUAUGUUUAAUCGUAAUCCUACGCUGAUCACACAGAUACAAUCGUACAGUUGAAGUCUUUCUUAAUCGAAAUGAAAGCUUAACUUUUUCAAAGAACUAUUAAAAGGUAGGAAAGGUUGUUUGUUGUCAAGGACUAGAAUGCGCCAUUCUAUUGUAUCUGGUUACGUUUUUAAUAGUAUGUAGGUAAACGUGAAACUUAUCAGCGAUUGUUUCUUAUUAUUUAUUAAUAUUACUUUUAAUUUACCUGGGCAUUUGUGCUCCAACUAUACUCAUUUACUGAGUUUUGUACCCUUUUUUCGCAAACCGUACUCUUUUUAAAUCCUGUACUCUGAAAGUACUCAUUUGUAUAAUUUAGUUUAAAUAGAAAUUUCCUGAUGUUGUCCAGGCAGUAAUGCUGCUUUUAUAAGGGUAUUUUCACUAGGGUUAUUGCAGCAGUGAGAAGUCGCAACUUUCUGUAAAAACAUUAUCUGUCUUAACGGUCAAAUUUAAUAUGCAAAAUGAAAGUUGUUCGGAAGUGGCUACAUUAUUAGACGAAUUAUUAAAUGAGGAUUUAGCAAAAAAAAAAACGACUCCAAAGAAAAUUAUGUUUUUAACCCUGGAAAGAUAGUCUGCGUAAAAUUUACGCAUGCGUUUUCGAAUAAUUGCUCUAUCUUUCUAAUUAGCGCGAAUCCAUAGCUGUGCGUUUAGGACAUCUCAUUCGUCGUUGGGAGCUGCCGCGUGACGUAAGUGUCAAUAAGAUAUUGAGGCAAAUAUAUAUCACAAUGGGGAGUAUCAAUUGAAACGAACACGAAAUCCUGGCCGCUCUUAUGCAAAGUGAUGACGAGCUUCCGUGUGAGGACACCGACAGUGAAGUAGCGGACCACGUUUAAAGUUUUCUUUUUUUUUAAGUAAAAAUAAAGGAGUUUAAAAAAU